AAUAAAUAUUAUUAUAGAGUUUGUCUAUAAAAUUAAUUCAAUAGAUGCAAGUUCAGGCUGUUUGAGAGAUCUGUUUCAUAAAUGCACCGAAUUGAAGAGAGUGAUUCUUACGACAAUACGUACAGUGUCUGAUUUUGAUCUGGUAACUAUUGCAAAUCACUUGAAAUAUUUAGAGCAACUUGAUCUAUUAGGUGUGAGAGAAA
rnacentral:lncRNA from 1 species